GGUUCAUGAUGAUACAGGACCUUGUCUGAACAUCAUGAUCUCAAAAUAUGAGCUAGGAAGUUGUCACUGAAAUC